UGAAUACGAGACGCUACGGCGUCGAAGCAGUCUAUGUCAUACUUCCAAGAAAAGCUCGCAAUGUCAUAAACAAAUAAUGCCUGUACCAUAACCGACACAGGUGGGUAGGUAGAGUAUACUAAGGGGCGCGAGAUAACUCUCUCUAAGGAACUCGGCAAAAUGACUCCGUAACUUCGGGAGAAGGAGUGCCUUAUUUAUAAGGUUGCAAUAACAAGAUCCAAGCAACUGUUUAUCAAAAACACAGGUCUCCGCUAAGUCGUAAGACGAUGUAUGGGGGCUGACGCCUGCCCAGUGCCAGAAGGUUAAAGAAGUUGGUUAGCAUUCGCGAAGCUGAUAACUGAAGCCCUGGUGAACGGCGGCCGUAACGAUAACGGUCCUAAGGUAGCGAAAUUCCUUGUCGGGUAAGUUCCGACCCGCACGAAAGGCGUAAUGAUUUGGAUACUGUCUCGGAGAGGGGCUCGGUGAAAUAGACUUGUCUGUGAAGAUGCGGACUACCUGCACCUGGACAGAAAGACCCUAUGAAGCUUUACUGUAACUUGAAAUUGAAAUUGGACUUUAUUUGCGCAGCAUAGGUGGGAGGCGUUGAGAGUAUUCUUGCGGGAAUAUUGGAGCCAUCAGUGAGAUACCACUCUUGUAAUGUUAGAUUUCUAACUUUGGAUCAUUAUCUGGUCAAAGAACAGUUUCAGGCGGGCAGUUUGACUGGGGCGGUCGCCUCCCAAAUGGUAACGGAGGCGUACAAAGGUUUCCUCUGAACGGGUAGAAAUCGUAUCUAGAGUGUAAAGGCAUAAGGAAGCUUGACUGUGAGACCUACAAGUCGAGCAGGGACGAAAGUCGGUCUUAGUGAUCUGACGGUGCUGAGUGGAAAGGCCGUCACUCAACGGAUAAAAGUUACUCUAAGGAUAACAGGCUGAUCUCCCCCAAGAGUUCACAUCGACGGGGAGGUUUGGCACCUCGAUGUCGGCUCAUCGCAUCCUGGGGCGGUAGUACGUCCCAAGGGUUGGGCUGUUCGCCCAUGAAAGCGGUACGCGAGCUGGGUUCAGAACGUCGUGAGACAGUUCGGUCCAUAUCCGGUGUAGGCGUUAGAAUAUUGAGAGGAGCCUUCUUUAGUACGAGAGGACCGAGAAGGACAUACCUCUGGUGUACCAGUUAUCGUGCCAACGGUAAACGCUGGGUAGCUAUGUAUGGAGAGGAUAACCGCUGAAAGCAUCUAAGUGGGAAGCCCACCUCAAGAUAAG
rnacentral:rRNA from 1 species